AUGCUGCGGCGCCCGGGGAGCAGUUGGGGGUUCGGUGCCUUGCUCAAGGGCACCUCAGUCGUGGAAUUGAGGCUGGAGAGAGCGCUGUACAUUCACUCCCCCCACCUACAAUUCCUGCCGGCCCGAGACUCGAACUCACAACCCUUGGAUUGCAAGUCCGACUCUCUAACCAUUAGGCCACGACUUCGCCUUUUAUGUAAUGUUUACGGGUACAACUCACGGAGUUCCAAUAUAUCUAUGUUCAAAGAUUUGGGAGUAAAACUCAUUAGUAUACAAAGUCGUUUGAUUAAUGCUUAUUUGAUAAUAGCUGGAGUUUUUAAUGAAACUCCUGAUGAUGUACUAGAUAGAUUUCCUUCAAGAACUACCUCUAAUGCACACAAUAAUCUUAUUUUAUUGUUAUGUGAAAAUCUUUCUGUUGUAGAUGCUUGGCGUUUCUUUAACAGUGGUUGUAGUGGUUUUACCUGGUCCAACAAAUAUGGAUCCCUUAAAGCUAGAAUCGAUCUUUUUUUUAUUUCUCAUUCUAUUUUGAAAGAUGUUAUCUCUGUUAAUCAUCAGUUUGCCCAAUUUACUGAUCAUAUGUUAAUUCAUUUGGACCUUAAGCAAUAUAGAAAACCAAGUAGCACAAGAGGUUACUGGAAAUUUAAUAAUUGUCUGUUGGAAGAUGCUCCUUUUAAUGAUUAUGUUACUCAUCUAGCUAAAACUAUGUUUAGUAAAAUUGAAGGUGACCCUUGCUUUAGCUGGGAGUUCUUCAAAUUUAAAAUUAGGGACUUUGCUGUUAAUAGGAGUAAACAAAUUAAAAGAGAUAAAAAUAAUAAAGAAUUUGAGCUUAUUCACAGGUUAGGUCUAUUAAAGCAGAAGAAUAAUCCCAGUAAAGAAGAUGAAGUAGUAUAUAGAAGAUUUGAUGUCUUUACUCAUUUUUAAAUCUCUUAAACACAUAGAUAAUAAGAAUAACAAGUUUAUUAAGGCUUAUGAUGAUAUUAUACUGAAAGAAUGAUUUUCCUGUUUCUUGUUUUUUCUUCCUUUUUUGUGUCAUUGUAUGUCAAUGCAGUGCUAUUUUGUAUUUGUAUUUCUUUUGUCUUGCAAUAAAAAAAAACAACAAAAAAACAAAGCAUAAAUACAAAGUAAAAAACGUGUCCUUGUGGGCACGGCUGACACAGGCUGUGUCCAAAUUCAGGGUCUGCAUCCUGCUUAGGAUCCUUCCUACCCGGUUGAAGGAGGAGGGGUCCUCCGAUGACCGCAAAACCCGGAAGUCGGUGUUUGUGAAUUUGGACAGCCUACCCUUUCUUUCAGUUCCCUCCCUUACCCGUUGCUCAUAUCUAGGGCUGUUCGAUUCCACAAUUUUUGGAAUCGAUUCCGAUUCCAAUUCCUGGUCCUGGAAUCGAUGGGAAUCGAUUCCAAGAAUCGAUUCGUCACUGUUGUUUUCGAUUCUUUUUAAAUUAUUUAUUUUUUUUUCUUUUUUUAGAUUAAAGGAACCUAAUCUCAUCAUGAUGACUGCAGGAUAGGUCGUAUAAUGUAUCCUUCAUAUAAUAUGAAGCUGAAAAAAUUUGUAUGAUGAUAUGAAAAGUUUUGUUUUUUCAGCUUUGCUCGUGAAAUUAGUCAUAGCCCAGCUCAGCAGGGACAUGCGUUUAUCGCAUAUAUUAAAUAAGACAUGAAGUGUCUAAAAGAAAUGUGCACAGUUGAGCUGAAUGAAGUUUGCUUUGUAUACUUUGCACAAUAUUAACAAACUGUACACUUAAACUAAAUAACCAGAACAUUAAUAACUGAUAGAGCUCAUGGUUUAUCUGUCAAUCAGAUGCACUCUCGGCCACUGAUCUAUGCUCGUGACGUAUUAUUUUAUAAUUAUCAUUGGCUGAUAGAAAUGUUUUAAAAAAUAGAAUUUUAGAUGGUAAUAAGAUCAAGACCCUCAUUGACGUCAUGAUCUAUUCUGUCAUGAACCGCUCAAAAUUGUGGACAAGCCAGUUCUACCGUAAAAUAACCUCUGAAUCGUUUUAUAUAUAUAAUAAUCUUUUAUCUCACAACUGUUGUAAUUAUGGCUUUGGUGAAUUGUGCUUCUGAAACGGAAGGCUAGCCUACAUCCUAAAAUUCAAUUGAUCAGUACCGACUCGUUUUCUUUCUGUUUUGUUUUUUCUUUUCUUUUUUCGUGAAUUUAAAUGUGUGCAGCUUUUGUCGUAUGUAGCCUUCCGUUUGAGAGACUCCCAUUGAUAAGCUUUGUUGAACUGAAAAAGACUCUGAAUGAGGAGUCAACUCCCCUUGAUGGAAUCGAUUCCAACCUUUGGAAUCGACUCUCGAUUCCCAACGCCCCGGAAUCGAGGAAUCGAUUCUUUUUGGAAUCGACUCCCAGCCCUACUCAUAUCCUGUCGCCUAGCAACCGUGACAGUGCUAAGCAAGAAGCGGGAAAAUGGACAAACAAAGAGUUAUUCUCCUCAUUUUAAUUCUUUUGGAAGAAAUAAAGCAAUUAAAUAAAUUAAAUACUUUCUUUGGUCGUUGUCGGAGAGUUUUUUAUAUCAGACUACAAGACAGUCAUAUCCAGGGAAGCCAUUAUAGCCUAUUUUUAUUUAUGUUUUUAAGUAUUCUGCUAAUUUCCCCUACAAAUUCAUUGAGCCGAAACAUAAACUUUAGCUUGUUUUGUCAGAGAAACUCUAUCUAUCUAUCUAUCUAUCUAUCUAUCUAUCUAAAUAAUGAUAUGUAUAUACAGGUCCUUCUCAAAAAAUUUGCAUAUUGGAUAAAAGUUCAUUAUUUUCCAUAAUGUAAUGAUAAAAAUUAAACUUUCAUAUAUUUUAGAUUCAUUGCACACCAACUGAAAUAUUUCAGGUCUUUUAUUGUUUUAAUACUGAUGAUUUUGGCAUACAGCUCAUGAAAACCCAAAAUUCCUAUCUCAAAAAAUUAGCAUAUCAUGAAAAGGUUCUCUAAACGAGCUAUUAAUCUAAUCAUCUGAAUCAACUAAUUAACUCUAAACACCUGCAAAAGAUUCCUGAGGCUUUUAAAAACUCCCAGCCUGGUUCAUUACUCAAAACAGCAAUCAUGGGUAAGACUGCCGACCUGACUGCUGUCCAGAAGGCCAUCAUUGACACCCUCAAGCGAGAGGGUAAGACACAGAAAGAAAUUUCUGAACGAAUAGGCUGUUCCCAGAGUGCUGUAUCAAGGCACCUCAGUGGGAAGUCUGUGGGAAGGAAAAAGUGUGGCAAAAAACGCUGCACAACGAGAAGAGGUGACCGGACCCUGUGGAAGAUUGUGGAGAAGGACCGAUUCCAGACCUUGGGGGACCUGCGGAAGCAGUGGACUGAGUCUGGAGUAGAAACAUCCAGAGCCACCGUGCACAGGCGUGUGCAGGAAAUGGGCUACAGGUGCCGCAUUCCCCAGGUCAAGCCACUUUUGAACCAGAAACAGCGGCAGAAGCGCCUGUUGCUCAGUGGUCCAAAGUACUUUUUUCGGAUGAAAGCAAAUUUUGCAUGUCAUUCGGAAAUCAAGGUGCCAGAGUCUGGAGGAAGACUGGGGAGAAGGAAAUGCCAAAAUGCCUGAAGUCCAGUGUCAAGUACCAACAGUCAGUGAUGGUCUGGGGUGCCAUGUCAGCUGCUGGUGUUGGUCCACUGUGUUUUAUCAAGGGCAGGGUCAAUGCAGCUAGCUAUCAGGAGAUUUU
ensembl:lncRNA